CGGCAAUGUUGGAAGUGUUAAGACUUGGACAAUUCUUAGAGAUGGACUAAAUACAUUUUCAUAAUGAGAUGAACAUGAGGCUUUUGGAGGCUGGAGUGGAAUGUUAUGUUCUGGAUCUAGAUUCCUCCAAAAUCUCUCUGUUCAGAGGUUUGGGAGGUGACUGGACCGAUGCAGCACAACUCACCUGCUUGACUUCAUCGGCUGCUCAUACGGGGUCUGUUGGAUGGCAUACUCCUGGUACCCUCUCCGCGGCACCAGGUCAGCUUCAGUGGGCUCAAGACUUGCUGCUCCUGUUUCCGGGGGCCCAGCCUCCACUGGAAUAAUCUUGGUAGCACCUGGAAUGGCUUCCUGAGCAGUUAAAACCACGCUGGUGAUGGGUUUCUUUACUCCAGAGAGCUGCCGUGCCUCCUUUCCUGAGGAGACC
rnacentral:lncRNA from 1 species